rnacentral:lncRNA from 1 species
AUCCUCAAAUCUGAUUGGAAGCCUACGACUUCAUCAGGAUGCUAGCACCCUUGCAAAAGAUACUUUUUGAUGGUUGAUACUGCUGAUCUCCAUCAAUCUCUCAGACUCUCUAAGAAAAAUAGUGUAGAAGAGGAAAAAGAGGAAGAGGAAUAAUAGGGAGAUGUUCUCUGUAUUUUUCCCUCAUCUUGAAAUCCCAUGCCACAGAUCUAACUUGUGCGCAAUUCAGAAGACCCCUCACCCUCUGUUUUUCAUGC